rnacentral:tRNA from 1 species
UUUAACUCCUUCCCCUACUA